AUUUAAACCAGGAGAUGAAUACCCUGCUGAAGUCGUACAUGAAUAUUUAUUAUUAUAACCUCCCAUCCAGCUACAGGCGUGACAGUACUUAUUUUAUCAGUUGGUUAAGCCAAUGCUCUAGCCUCACUAUCUUCAGAUCUUCAGCAGGACUUGAUUUACAUUUGUCAAGUGCUUACAAUGUACCAUGCCCUUUCCACGUAUUAUUACACCUAUAACAACUCUAUGAGAAUAAUUUGCACUGCAGAACUUCUUCCAUAUGUCAAAGUUGGCCUCAUCAUUUUGCUUGGAGGAGGAAGGCUAGGAAUUCCAGUACAACGUUGGAGAGAAGUGGUAUUGGGGGCAUCAAUGUCUCCUUAUUGAUCUCAUCAGCUGGCUCCCUGUUCAGCUCUGCCAAGAGAAGAUGUCAGAGGCAGAGUGCAAGGAUGAAGGAGGACGAAGGGACUUUCUCCUGUUGGCUUCCUGUCUGCUUCCUGUUCCUGUGAGCAUCGCCUUAGCAACGCUUCUUCACCCAGGGAGCAGGAGCGCUUUCCCAUGGCAGCAGCUGGAUUCAGUUUGCAGUUUUUCAGCUCUAGCAGAACAAGCCUUAUUGCAUACCCUCAGAGACUCCAGCACCAGCCAGCUGGGCCCCCUCCUCAGAGGCCUGGAUCCCAGAUCCAAGAAGCCCUUCCUUUGAGCUCAUUGACACCAGCAACACCCUGUUCCCAAAAGUCUACAUUUCAGCUUCAUGAGGCCCCUCCUCCCAGCUUGCAAGUUUUAGUGAUUCUUGCCCCUUACCUUUUCUCCUCCAGCUUUAGGGAUGGUGUCUGCACUUGCUGCCUCUCUAACACUUGAGAGUCCUUCUUUUUGGUUCAUUUUCAUCAACACUUUAAUACCUGGUUAACAAUUCCUCGUAUUAAAUUAUCUCAGUUAAAAUAACUGAUAUAGCUCUCCAAUCAAUU
rnacentral:lncRNA from 1 species